UACCAGCACCCCGAGUGGUCUGGACGAUUAUUGGGCCUAAAGCAUCCGUAGCCGGUUCUGCAAGUCCCCCGUUAAAUCCAGCUGCUCAACAGAUGGGCCGCGGAGGAUACUACAGAGCUAGGAGGCAGGAGAGGCAAGCGGUACUCAGUGGGUAGGGGUAAAAUCCGUUGAUCCAUUGAAGACCACCAGUGGCGAAGGCGGCUUGCCAGAAUGCGCUCGACGGUGAGGGAUGAAAGCUGGGGGAGCAAACAGG
rnacentral:rRNA from 1 species